UACGUAGGGAGCAAGCGUUAUCCGGAAUUAUUGGGCGUAAAGGGUGCGUAGACGGGUUAACAAGUUAGUUGUGAAAUCCCUCGGCUCAACUGAGGAACUGCAACUAAAACUAUUAAUCUUGAGUGCAGGAGAGGUAAGUGGAAUUCCUAGUGUAGCGGUGAAAUGCGUAGAUAUUAGGAGGAACACCAGUGGCGAAGGCGACUUACUGGACUGUAACUGACGUUGAGGCACGAAAGUGUGGGGAGCAAACAGG
rnacentral:rRNA from 1 species